GCCCUUAGAGUUUGAUCCUGGCUCAGGACCUUCGCUGGCGGCGUGCAUGAGACAUGCAAGUCGAACGAGUACCGGGCUUGCUCGGUGCUAGUGGCGGACGGCUGAGUAACGCGUAGGUGACCUGCCCCGAAGUGGGGAAUAACUGCCCGAAAGGGUGGCUAAUACCGCAUGUGGUCGCACCUUCAUUGGUGCGAGUAAAGCCGCAAGGCGCUUCGGGAGGGGCCUGCGUCCGAUUAGCUCGUUGGUGGGGUAAUGGCCUACCAAGGCGACGAUCGGUAGGUGGUCUGAGAGGACGAUCACCCAGACUGGGACUGAGACACGGCCCAGACUCCUACGGGAGGCAGCAGUCGGGAAUUUUGCUCAAUGGGGGAAACCCUGAAGCAGCAACGCCGCGUGAGGGAUGAAGGCCUUCGGGUUGUAAACCUCUUUUGUCAGGGACGAUGAUGACGGUACCUGGCGAAUAAGCCACGGCUAACUACGUGCCAGCAGCCGCGGUAAUACGUAGGUGGCAAGCGUUGUCCGGAUUUACUGGGCGUAAAGAGCGCGCAGGCGGUCUUGUAAGUCGAAUGUGAAAGCCCCUGGCUCAACCAGGGAGGGUCAUUCGAUACUGCUUGACUCGAAGGCAGGAGAGGGAAGUGGAAUUCCGGGUGUAGUGGUGAAAUGCGUAGAUAUCCGGAGGAACACCAGUGGCGAAGGCGACUUUCUGGCCUGUUCUUGACGCUGAGGCGCGAAAGCUAGGGGAGCAAACGGGAUUAGAUACCCCGGUAGUCCUAGCCGUAAA
rnacentral:rRNA from 1 species